rnacentral:lncRNA from 1 species
GAGAGUACAUUUGAUCUCAAUUUGAGAUCAGUGAGACAGAUGCUUUAUGACAGGCAGCUCUUUUAUCAAACCUACUUGCUUGAUCCAUGUCGACUGGUACAUUUGACUCGCAGCUUGUCUCACUGGUUAUUUUGGAUGAGCAUUGUAUUUCAGUGAUUUCUAAGGAGAGUAAAGGUUUUGGGUCAGAAGAUCAUAGCUAACCUGUGUAAACUUUUGUAUUCUAUUUUUAUUUCGUGAUAGGAAAGUCUGGAGGUCUAGUAUCAGGGUUAUAGGAUAGGGGCUCCUAGACUUUUUCGUACUCCUCACCCGGGGUUGGGUGAGGCUUCGCAGGGCUAUCCAUAGAUGAUUUGUGUUUUGGCUUGUGUCUCC